rnacentral:rRNA from 1 species
GACGGGGGGUCCUAGCGUUGUUCGGAAUCAUUGGGCGUAAAGCGUGUGCAGGUGUCUUUGUAAGUUGGAUGUGAAAUCCUUGGGCUCAACCCAAGAAGUGCAUUCAAAACUACAAAACUUGAGUAUGGAAGAGGGUCGUGGAAUUCCAGGUGUAGUGGUGAAAUACGUAGAUAUCUGGAGGAACACCGGUGGCGAAGGCGGCGACCUGGUCCUAUACUGACACUCAUACACGAAAGCGUGGGGAUCAAACAGG